GAACGAGCUCUCCCAAAUUGAUUUUAUGCUUGCAUAAAUGAUUUUUGGAUUCGGAGCGAGUGGCGAACUGGUGAGUAACACGUGGGUAACCUGCCCCGAAGCGGGGGAUAACAUUUGGAAACAAGUGCUAAUACCGCAUAAUUAGUUGGAACCGCAUGGUUCCAACUUGAAAGAUGGCUCUGCUAUCACUUUGGGAUGGACCCGCGCCGUAUUAGUUAGUUGGUGAGAUAAAAGCCCACCAAGACGAUGAUACGUAGCCGACCUGAGAGGGUAAUCGGCCACAUUGGGACUGAGACACGGCCCAGACUCCUACGGGAGGCAGCAGUAGGGAAUCUUCCACAAUGGACGAAAGUCUGAUGGAGCAACGCCGCGUGAGUGAUGAAGGUUUUCGGAUCGUAAAACUCUGUUGUUAAAGAAGAACAAGUGUUAGAGUAACUGUUAACACUUUGACGGUAUUUAACCAGAAAGCCACGGCUAACUACGUGCCAGCAGCCGCGGUAAUACGUAGGUGGCAAGCGUUGUCCGGAUUUAUUGGGCGUAAAGCGAGCGCAGGCGGUUUUGUAAGUCUGCUGUGAAAGCCCUCAGCUCAACUGAGGAAGUGCAGUGGAAACUACAAAACUUGAGUACAGAAGAGGAAAGUGGAACUCCAUGUGUAGCGGUGAAAUGCGUAGAUAUAUGGAAGAACACCAGUGGCGAAGGCGGCUUUCUGGUCUGUUACUGACGCUGAGGCUCGAAAGCAUGGGUAGCGAACAGGAUUAGAUACCCUG
rnacentral:rRNA from 2 species